UACAGGGAUGGGCUCAAAGUGGAAGUUGGGGCACCUGGCCCUGAGUUGUAGUUUUAAGACAUGCAACCAAUGGAGGUGCAGAUACAAGCCUUUGGAGCAUGAGUAUUGAGAAGGGUGAGAAUCCUGUUUAUCAUGUGUGGUUCCUUGCCAUAUGUGGUGUUUUGUCCAUGAGUUAUACCCCCUGGGGUUGGUGUGUGAAGUGGGUGGUAAAGUUCAUCUAAAGGCGAACAUUGAUCCAGGGCCAACAGUGAACAAGUACCAUGAGGGAAAGGUGAAACAGGACUUUGAACAGAGUGAUAAUAAUGCUUGAACAUGCUGUACACGAAAUGAGGGGAUCUCUGUGCUUCUUGGGAAGACUUCUGCACACAAUCCUGCCUGCCUGCCGUUGUCUAAGCAAGUGUGGCUGCGGGUAAACAGAGCAGAGGGUGUGGAGAGCAUCUUGCCUUGUGGGUCGGAGACAGUGCAUUGCGUCAGGGAAUUAGUCGGUGUUGGGCAGCCUGUUGCUUGGUGGGUGAAUGCAACUGCUUGUCCAUGUGCGAAUGCUGUGCGGUGACUGUGUAGUGCCAUUUAUCCUGUCUUGAAACACAGAUCGAGGAGUCUAACGGAUGUGCAAAUGAAAAGGUGACAGUCACCUAGUCGUGCAAUGAGCAUGCUGGUUGGGAUGUCUGCACCUGCCACCGACAUUUCGUGUGUGGAAAGCCUGAGUGUGAGCAGCUAUGUUAGGACCCGAAAGAUGGUGAACUAUGCCUGUGAAGAGGUAAGUUCAGGGGAAACUCUGAUGGAGGCCUGCAGUGGUACUGACGUGCAAAUCGUUCGUCAUACAUCGGUAUAGGGGUGAAAGACUAAUCGAAUCAUCUAGUAGCUGGUUCCCUCUGAAGUUUCCCUCAGGAUAGCUAGGGCUGAACAGCUUUAUCAGGUAAAGCAAAUGAUUCAAGGAAUUGGGGGCAUCAUGCUCUUGACCUAUUCUCAAACUCUAAAUAGGUAAAGCCCUUAGAUUGCAUGCGUGAGCUCUUGGGAUCAGUGGAACCUCUAAGUGGGCCAUUCUUGGUAAGCAGAACUGGCAAUGAGGGAUGAACCUAAUGUUGGACUAAGAUGCCUGGUUGCCCACGCAUUAGAUACCACAAAAGGGUGUUGGUUCAUACUAACAGCAGGACGGUGGUCAUGGAAGUUGAAAUCCGCUAAGGAGUGUGUAAUAACUCACCUGCCGAAUGGACUAGCCCUGAAAAUGGAUAGCGCUCGAGUGGGUGAUUGAUGUUGGACCACUGCUGCUGUUUUGUUGUAUCUAUGAGUAGGAGGGCGUGGGGUU
rnacentral:rRNA from 1 species